rnacentral:rRNA from 1 species
UACAGAGGGUGCAAGCGUUAUUCGGAGUUAUUGGGCGUAAAGAGCGCGUAGGUGGUUCGAUAAGUCUGGUGUGAAAUCCCUGGACUCAAUCCAGGAAGUGCAUUGGAUACUGUCGAACUAGAGUGCAGGAGAGGUAAGCGGAAUUCCUGGUGUAGAGGUGAAAUUCGUAGAUAUCAGGAGGAACAACAGUGGCGAAGGCGGCUUACUGGACUGCAACUGACACUGAGGCGCGAAAGCGUGGGGAGCAAACAGG